UACAGAGGAGGCAAGCGUUGUUCGGAAUUACUGGGCGUAAAGGGCGCGUAGGCGGCCUUCUAAGUCGAACGUGAAAUCCCUGGGCUCAACCCAGGAACUGCGUCCGAUACUGGGAGGCUUGAAUCCGGGAGAGGGAUGCGGAAUUCCAGGUGUAGCGGUGAAAUGCGUAGAUAUCUGGAGGAACACCGGUGGCGAAGGCGGCAUCCUGGACCGGUAUUGACGCUGAGGCGCGAAAGCCAGGGGAGCAAACGGG
rnacentral:rRNA from 1 species